AGUGAACGCUGGCGGUAGGCCUAACACAUGCAAGUCGAACGGCAGCACAGUAAGAGCUUGCUCUUACGGGUGGCGAGUGGCGGACGGGUGAGGAAUACAUCGGAAUCUACUUUUUCGUGGGGGAUGACGUAGGGAAACUUACGCUAAUACAGCAUACGACCUACGGGUGAAAGCAGGGGAUCUUCGGACCUUGCGCGAUUGAAUGAGCCGAUGUCGGAUUAGCUAGUUGGCGGGGUAACGGCCCACCAAGGCGACGAUCCGUAGCUGGUCUGAGAGGAUGAUCAGCCACACUGGAACUGAGACACGGUCCAGACUCCUACGGGAGGCAGCAGUGGGGAUUAUUGGACAAUGGGCGCAAGCCUGAUCCAGCCAUACCGCGUGGGUGAAGAAGGCCUUCGGGUUGUAAAGCCCUUUUGUUGGGAAAGAAAAGCAGCAGGUUAAUACCCCGCUGUUCUGACGGUACCCAAAGAAUAAGCACCGGCUAACUUCGUG
rnacentral:rRNA from 1 species